AGUGACCGCUGGCGGUAGGCCUAACACAUGCAAGUCGAACGGCAGCACAGGAGAGCUUGCUCUCUGGGUGGCGAGUGGCGGACGGGUGAGGAAUACAUCGGAAUCUACUUUUUCGUGGGGGAUAACGUAGGGAAACUUACGCUAAUACCGCAUACGACCUACGGGUGAAAGCAGGGGACCUUCGGGCCUUGCGCGAUUGAAUGAGCCGAUGUCGGAUUAGCUAGUUGGCGGGGUAAAGGCCCACCAAGGCGACGAUCCGUAGCUGGUCUGAGAGGAUGAUCAGCCACACUGGAACUGAGACACGGUCCAGACUCCUACGGGAGGCAGCAGUGGGGAAUAUUGGACAAUGGGCGCAAGCCUGAUCCAGCCAUACCGCGUGGGUGAAGAAGGCCUUCGGGUUGUAAGGCCCUUUUGUUGGGAAAGAAAUCCAGCUGGCUAAUACCCGGUUGGGAUGACGGUACCCAAAGAAUAAGCACCGGCUAACUUCGUGCCAGCCGCCGCGGUAA
rnacentral:rRNA from 1 species